UACUUUCUGACUUAGGUGAGACCUCAGGU
rnacentral:piRNA from 1 species